rnacentral:rRNA from 1 species
UACGUAGGUGGCAAGCGUUGUCCGGAUUUAUUGGGUUUAAAGGGUGCGUAGGCGGGUUAUUAAGUCAGUGGUGAAAUCCUGCAGCUCAACUGUAGACUUGCCAUUGAUACUGGCGCUCUUGAGUGCGCUUGAAGUAGGCGGAAUGUGCCGUGUAGCGGUGAAAUGCUUAGAUAUGGCACAGAACACCAAUUGCGAAGGCAGCUUACUAAGGCGAUACUGACGCUGAGGCACGAAAGCGUGGGGAUCGAACAGG